AAGGUAUGGUGAGGGCACUUUCUAAGCAUCUCCUUGAAUCUCUUCCAACUCCCAUAAAUAGAUUCUUCUUCUAAUUGAGUAAAAGAAGUAAUACCAUUUCUAAGUUU